GGAUCCAGCACUCGCAGGCUCUGGAACACAGACUCAGUAGCUGUGGUGCACAGGCUUAAUUGCUCCCGGUGGGAUCUUCCUGAAUCAGGGAUCGAACCCGUAUCUCCUGCAUUGGCAGGUGGAUUCUUUACCGUUGAGCCGCCAAGGAAGUCCUCUUGUCUUUCUUGAACCGUGGGACACAGUUCGGAGCAGGAGAAGAGAAGCAGAGACCUUCCAGAGAGCAGACAGAAUGAUCCAAAGACUCAGCUACUUAAGGUAACUACUGGAGAAGUUGGCGGUCAAGUCCAAGGAGAUGCCACAGAGAAACCACACUACAGUAUUCAUCCAGCCAACACAAGACCAUUAAUCAACCACAAAGACAGAAAGAUGAAUAAGGAGACUCGAGAAUUUGAAGAAGUUAACCCCAGGAAUCUUGGCCCUGUCAUGCAGUGACCCCUCACGUUAAUAUUGGACAGACCAUAUCAUUAACUGAAGGAAGAUAAGCAAAGUAUGUAGGGCUCUGGCACAUCUGCAUUGAGCCACUUCAGGGAAUAAACUCUUGAAGAAGGGUCUAUGAGUAACAACCUGGUAACACCUAACAUUUGGUGACAAUUAAACAAGCAUUGCUAUUCACAAUCAUUGUGGCACAAGACCAAGAAGAACUCAAAAAUUUAUUCAUGUGUUUUUCUGUCUUAACCUUGUUUCUGACCUCGUCUUGUCUUUCCAACCUAUAAUUUUAAUUUGGUUCAGCUUUCCUCAGCCAUUUAGCUUGAAUUUUAUUUAAUCAUUAUAUAAAUAACCUUAAAUCCCAUGGAGAGUCAGCAGAAAUCAUUAAAUAAUUAAAUACUUAUUAAGACAAUGACAGCAAGAAAUUUCUCUCUCCCUCCUUUCUCUCUAGCUCUCUCUCUCUCUCCUCUCUUUUCUUUAUACAAAGAUUCUUUGAGAAUGCAGUGAUCUCAGGCCUAAAAUAUUCAGCUCUGCCUUUUGUUCAGGACUCUUGGAAAGCUGGGGUGGUCUACAAUCUUAAUCUACAAUUAAGAUGUCAUCCCCGCUCCCUCCUCUUUUGCCCCAUGCUUUGCCUGUACAAAUGGAAGCUUUGGGAUUUUGCAGUGUGCUAACACUCUAAAACCCUAUUAAUACUGUUGCCUUUUUGGCUGACAGAUUUGUAGUUACGGUAACUAAUCUGAGCUAAAAGAUGUAGAGGUUUUUGCAAGUUCAAACAAAACCUAUUAUUAUUUUGAAAAAAACAAAAAACAAGCCACCGACUCAAUCUCCACACUUAAUUUCAAAGGACAACCAUCAGAACAAUAUUCUUUAUCCCAACGUGGGAAAUUAAAAAAAAAAAAAAGUAAAGGAUUUUUCAAACUGCAAA